GUAGGGAAUAUUGCACAAUGGAGGAAACUCUGAUGCAGCGACGCCGCGUGAGUGAUGAAGGCCUUCGGGUUGUAAAGCUCUGUCGUACGGGAAUAAUAAAGUGAAUGUACCGUGCAAGAAAGGAUCGGCUAACUUCGUGCCAGCAGCCGCGGUAAGACGAGGGAUCCUAGCGUUGUUCGGAAUCAUUGGGCGUAAAGCGGGUGCAGGUGGCUCUGUAAGUCAGAUGUGAAAGCCUGAGGCUUAACCUCAGAAGUGCAUUUGAUACUGCGGAGCUUGAGUGCUGGAGAGGCUACUAGAAUUCCAGGUGUAGUGGUGAAAUACGUAGAUAUCUGGAGGAAUACCGGAGGCGAAGGCGGGUAGCUAGCCAGACACUGACACUCAGACCCGAAAGCGUGGGGAUCAAACAGGAUUAGAAACCCUUGUAGUCC
rnacentral:rRNA from 1 species